AGAAUACACUGGUUUAUUAUACAUUUAUCAGCGUACCAACUGACAUGGGCCUAAUUUGUGUCUCUUUGCCUGGAUCUAAUCUAACCCAUUGUGGCAAAUAACAUAGAUUCAUGCCUCUUCUAGCAGUAGGUCUACUGUGUCUUAGGGGUAGUGGUAAAUACAUCACAGUAACAUGCAUUCAGCAAAAGUGUCCUUCCCUGAGAACAAAAGAUGGAGGCAAGUUCUUCAAUGACUUUAUAAGGUCCUUCUCCUAGUUGCUUGUCUUGGCCUGCAGCUUCACUGGUCAUUCAUGUGGUUGUUAUUGUCGCUGCACCAAAUAAUCCUUCUCUUUUCUGUAGAUAUAAAAAACACACCUGACAACCUUGGAGCACAUGAGCAUAAACCAUCAAUUUGCAAUAUCAACUUACAUAUUGGCAUCCUGUUCCAAGAACAGAUUGAGGGGAACAUUUCAGGCAGCAGAGCAUGCAACAUGGGAAAUUCUAAAACAUAUGACAACAGCUGGUCU
rnacentral:lncRNA from 1 species